CACAGAGGUCUCGAGCGUUGUUCGGAUUCAUUGGGCGUAAAGGGUGCGUAGGUGGCGCUGUAAGUCGGGUGUGAAAUCCUGAGGCUUAACCUCGGAACUGCAUUCGAUACUGCGGCGCUUGAGGACUGGAGAGGAGACUGGAAUUCAUGGUGUAGCAGUGAAAUGCGUAGAGAUCAUGAGGAAGACCAGUGGCGAAGGCGGGUCUCUGGACAGUUCCUGACACUGAGGCACGAAGGCCAGGGGAGCAAACGGG
rnacentral:rRNA from 1 species